AUUGAACGCUGGCGGCAUGCCUUACACAUGCAAGUCGAACGGUAACAGGUCUUCGGAUGCUGACGAGUGGCGAACGGGUGAGUAAUACAUCGGAACGUGCCUAGUAGUGGGGGAUAACUACUCGAAAGAGUGGCUAAUACCGCAUGAGAUCUACGGAUGAAAGCAGGGGAUCGCAAGACCUUGUGCUACUAGAGCGGCCGAUGGCAGAUUAGGUAGUUGGUGGGAUAAAAGCUUACCAAGCCGACGAUCUGUAGCUGGUCUGAGAGGACGAUCAGUCACACUGGGACUGGGACACGGCCCAGACUCCUACGGGAGGCAGCAGUGGGGAAUUUUGGACAAUGGGCGCAAGCCUGAUCCAGCAAUGCCGCGUGCAGGAUGAAGGCCUUCGGGUUGUAAACUGCUUUUGUACGGAACGAAAAGCCCUAAUAUGGUGGUGGGAUGACGGUACCGGAAGAAUAAGCACCGGCUAACUACGUGCCAGCCGCCGCCGUAAAAC
rnacentral:rRNA from 1 species